rnacentral:ncRNA from 1 species
GGAUKGGUCCGGCCUUAUUAUCAACCGCUACACAACUUAUACAUGCAAGUCUCCGCACACCCGUGAGAACGCCCUUAAAAUCUCAAUCAGAUCAAGGAGUUGGCAUCAGGCACAGAAUUAUUCUAGCCCAUAACGCCUAGUUUCACCACGCCCUCAAGGGUAUUCAGCAGUAAUAAACAUUGCCAAUAAGCGUCAGCUUGAAUCAGUUGCAGAAGCUUUAACUGGGCCGGCAAAUUGCGGUGCCAGCCGCCGCGGAUACACCGUCGAACCCGUCUUAGGGAGGCUCUAGUUGAUAAAACUCGGCGUAAAGCGUGGUUAAAGAUAUAACCUAAUUAGAGUAGAAUUUAAGCCCAGCAGUGUUAAGCCUGCUCUUUGGAAAACCGAUUUCGAAAGUAACUCUAAUCCUCUUGAAUACACGACAGCUGAGAAUCAAACUGGAAUUAGAUACUCCACUAUGCUCAGUCGUAAAAUUUGGUUUACUAUAUAAACGCCAGGAUAUUAUAAGCUUAGCUUGAAAUCCAAAGGACUUGACGGUGUCCCAUACCCCUCUAGAGGAGCCUGCCCUGUAAUCGAUUUUACCCGCUAAACCCCACCAUCUCUUGCAACCCCAGCUUGUAUACUUCCGACGCAAGUUUACCAUUUGAACGAUUAGUGGGCCUAAUGUUCCCGUUUAACCAGUACGUCAGGUCAAGGUGCAGCCUAUGAGAUGGGAGAGGUGGGCUACAAUUUCUAAAAACUAGAACACACGAAAACCCUGUAUGAAAAAUCAGAAAUGAAGGUGGAUUUAGAAGUAAAAAGAAAAUAGAGUGUUCUUUUUAAUAAAGGCGCUAGGACAAGUACAAACCGCCCGUCACCCCCUUCGAUAGCAAACAAAAGUUCCUAACACACUUUUGCACCCAAGAAGGGGCAAGUCGUAACACGGUAAGUGUACUGGAAAGUGCACUUGGUAAAGCAAAAUGUAGCUUAACUAAAGCCCCUCGCUUACACCGAGAAAAUAUCUGUUGGACCCAGAUCAUUUUGAGCCCAAAACCUAGCCCAUCUUUUUUCCACCCCAUGUUUUUUAUUAUAAACCAUUAGAAAUUUUAAGUAAAGGUGAUUGAAAAACUUUUAGGAGCCUCAGAUAAAGUACCGCAAGGGAAAGGUGAAAUAAAAAUGAAAAAAUUUUAAGCACAAUAUAGCAGAGAUAGACCCUCGUACCUUUUGCAUCAUGGUCUAGCUAGUCUUAUCAAGCAGAACUUUUUUAGUUUGACCCCCCGAAACUAAGUGAGCUACUUCAAAACAGCCUCAUGGGCCAACCCGUCUCUGUCGCAAUAGAGUGGGAAGAUUUUCAAGUAGAGGUGAAAUACCUAUCGAACUUAGAGAUAGCUGGUUACUCAGGAAAAGAAUUUUAGUUCGCCCUUAAGUUUUUAUAAUUCAGGUAACCUACAAAAUUAAACAUUAACUUAAGAGUUAUUCAAAUAAGGUACAGCUUAUUUGAAACAGGACACAACCUCUUCUAUUGGGUAAAGUCUCUUUAUUCUCCAAAAAAGUGGGCCUAAAAGCAGCCAUCUAUUAAAAAGCGUUAAAGCUCAAUUGUGAGCCCAUAUUAAUACUUAUAUUUUUCCCGAACCCAUUAUCACUACUGAGUGAUUUUAUACUUUUAUAAAAGUCAUUAUGCUAGAACUAGUAACAAAGAAACAGAAUUUCUCCAAAAUGAAAACUAAAGCCACAAUGGACAACCCCUUGGCAAUUAACGUAAUUGAUUUUAUUAUAUUAACCCCAACUAGAAAAAUUUACAAAAUUUAACGUUAACCUAACACAAGUUCAUUCCCGGAAAGAUUAAAAGAAAAGGAAGGAACUCGGCAACACAUGACCCCGCCUGUUUACCAAAAACAUCGCCUCUUGACAAACAUAAGAGGUCCCGCCUGCCCACUGACAGGAUUUAACGGCCGCGGUACUCUGACCGUGCAAAGGUAGCACAAUCACUUGUUCUCUAAAUAGGGACUAGAAUCAACGGCAUCACGAGGGUCUUACUGUCUCCCUUUUCUAAUCAGUGAAACUGAUCUUCCCGUGAAGAAGCGGGAAUAACUUUAUAAGACGAGAAGACCCCAUGGAGCUUCAAACUCAAUAGUUACCCCAUGCAAACUACACGACAACUUAGGGAAAUAACUAUUAAUUUUAGGUUGGGGUGACCACGGAGAAUAGCCUAACCUCCGCAAUGAAAAGAAUGAUAUCCUUAUCUAUGAGAUACAUCUCUAAGAAUUAACAAAUUAGCAUAAAAUGAUCCGAUCUAUUUACCAUUCGAUCAAUGAACCAAGUUACCCUGGGGAUAACAGCGCCAUCCACUUUGAGAGUUCAUAUCGACAAGUGGGUUUACGACCUCGAUGUUGGAUCAGGGUAUCCCAGUGGG